rnacentral:rRNA from 1 species
GAUGAACGCUAGCGGCAGGCCUAACACAUGCAAGUCGAGGGGCAGCACAGAAACAGCAAUGUUUUGGUGGCGACCGGCGGACGGGUGCGUAACGCGUAUGCAACCUACCUUUAACAGGGGGAUAACGGAGAGAAAUUUCCACUAAUACCCCAUAACAUCGAUCAAGGCAUCUUGCCUGGUUGAAAACUCCGGUGGUUAAAGAUGGGCAUGCGUUGUAUUAGGUAGUUGGUGAGGUAAUGGCUCACCAAGCCUACGAUACAUAGGGGGACUGAGAGGUUAGCCCCCCACACUGGUACUGAGACACGGACCAGACUCCUACGGGAGGCAGCAGUGAGGAAUAUUGGUCAAUGGGGGCAACCCUGAACCAGCCAUGCCGCGUGCAGGAAGACGGCUCUAUGAGUUGUAAACUGCUUUUAAACAGGGAUAAAGCACAGUAUGUAUACUGUGUUGAAGGUACUGUAAGAAUAAGGAUCGGCUAACUCCGUGCCAGCCGCCGCAGUAA